UACAGAGGUCCCAAGCGUUGUUCGGAUUCAUUGGGCGUAAAGGGUGCGUAGGCGGCGCGGUAAGUCGGGUGUGAAAUCUCGGGGCUUAACUCCGAAACUGCAUUCGAUACUGCCGUGCUUGAGGACUGGAGAGGAGACUGGAAUUCACGGUGUAGCAGUGAAAUGCGUAGAGAUCGUGAGGAAGACCAGUGGCGAAGGCGGGUCUCUGGACAGUUCCUGACGCUGAGGCGCGAAGGCCAGGGGAGCAAACGGG
rnacentral:rRNA from 1 species